rnacentral:rRNA from 1 species
AUUGAACGCUGGCGGCAUGCCUUACACAUGCAAGUCGAACGGUAACAGGUCUUCGGAUGCUGACGAGUGGCGAACGGGUGAGUAAUACAUCGGAACGUGCCCGAUCGUGGGGGAUAACGAGGCGAAAGCUUUGCUAAUACCGCAUACGAUCUACGGAUGAAAGCGGGGGAUCUUCGGACCUCGCGCGGACGGAGCGGCCGAUGGCAGAUUAGGUAGUUGGUGGGAUAAAAGCUUACCAAGCCGACGAUCUGUAGCUGGUCUGAGAGGAUGAUCAGCCACACUGGGACUGAGACACGGCCCAGACUCCUACGGGAGGCAGCAGUGGGGAAUUUUGGACAAUGGGCGAAAGCCUGAUCCAGCCAUGCUGCGUGCAGGAUGAAGGCCUUCGGGUUGUAAACUGCUUUUGUACGGAACGAAAAGCCUCUUUCUAAUAAAGAGGGGUCAUGACGGUACCGUAAGAAUAAGCACCGGCUAACUACGUG